rnacentral:rRNA from 1 species
CCUACGGGGUGCUGCAGUGGGGAAUAUUGGACAAUGGGCGAAAGCCUGAUCCAGCCAUGCCGCGUGUGUGAAGAAGGCCUUCGGGUUGUAAAGCACUUUCAGUGGGGAAGAAAGCCUUGGGGCUAAUACCCUCGAGGAAGGACAUCACCCACAGAAGAAGCACCGGCUAACUCCGUGCCAGCAGCCGCGGUAAUACGGAGGGUGCGAGCGUUAAUCGGAAUUACUGGGCGUAAAGCGCGCGUAGGCGGUCUGAUAAGCCGGUUGUGAAAGCCCCGGGCUCAACCUGGGAACGGCAUCCGGAACUGUCAGGCUAGAGUGCAGGAGAGGAAGGUAGAAUUCCCGGUGUAGCGGUGAAAUGCGUAGAGAUCGGUAGGAAUACCAGUGGCGAAGGCGGCCUUCUGGACUGACACUGACGCUGAGGUGCGAAAGCGUGGGUAGCAAACAGGAUUAGAUACCCUUGUAGUC